UUAGUUAGCUGAGCCCUUUGUCAAUCGAACGAAAAGUGAACACUAAGUAUACAUUGUGAACUUCACUGAUGUCACGUUUUAAUUUUUCAAGGUCUCGUCGAAUAGUAUACACUUACCUGUACUUAUUUAUGGAAAUUAUAUUUAACAAUAUAAUUCAAGAAUAGAGGCUCUUUAGGUUUGAAAAUACAAUAAAACAAAAAAAACUAAAAAACUACGAACAAGUGGAG